rnacentral:rRNA from 1 species
UACGAAGGGGGCUAGCGUUGCUCGGAAUCACUGGGCGUAAAGCGCACGUAGGCGGCUUUCUAAGUCAGAGGUGAAAUCCUGGAGCUCAACUCCAGAACUGCCUUUGAUACUGGGAGCUUGAGUCCGGAAGAGGUUAGUGGAACUGCGAGUGUAGAGGUGAAAUUCGUAGAUAUUCGCAAGAACACCAGUGGCGAAGGCGGCUAACUGGUCCG